rnacentral:rRNA from 1 species
UACGAAGGGGGCUAGCGUUGUUCGGAAUUACUGGGCGUAAAGCGCACGUAGGCGGAUUGUUAAGUCAGAGGUGAAAUCCCGGAGCUCAACUUCGGAACUGCCUUUGAUACUGGCAAUCUCGAGUCCGGAAGAGGUUAGUGGAAUUCCCAGUGUAGAGGUGAAAUUCGUAGAUAUCGGGAGGAACACCAGUGGCGAAGGCGGUUGCCUGGAGCUUUGCUGACGCUGAUGCGCGAAAGCGUGGGGAGCGAGUCCGG